rnacentral:rRNA from 1 species
UACGAAGGGGGCUAGCGUUGCUCGGAAUCACUGGGCGUAAAGCGCACGUAGGCGGCUUUUUAAGUCAGGGGUGAAAUCCUGGAGCUCAACUCCGGAACUGCCUUUGAUACUGCAAGUCUCGAGUCCGAUAGAGGUGGGUGGAAUUCCUAGUGUAGAGGUGAAAUUCGUAGAUAUUAGGAAGAACACCGGUGGCGAAGGCGGCCCACUGGAUCGGUACUGACGCUGAGGUGCGAAAGCGUGGGGAGCAAACAGG